CUAUCAGUGAAGCGAUUUACUGAGAAGGGGUAUGAGAAGUCAGCAGAAGACAUAGUACUUUCUAUCCGUAUACGCAAAAAUUUUUACUCAUGCUGCUCCUGGAUCCCGCGGUC
rfam:Gammaproteobacteria bacterium GWF2_41_13 gwf2_scaffold_2131, whole genome shotgun sequence.